AGCUGAUUUGUUAUCACACUAAAGCUUCAUUGAACUAUCCUCCUGGAGUUUUAACUCAAAUAGAAGAUUUUUAAUCCAUAAUAGUUCACUUAGACUCUGUGACAUAGCCCUGUACUCAGCCUCUGCAGUAGAGCGUGAUACUACAGGCUGUUUCUUACUUCUCCAAAUCACCAAGUUGCCACCAACAAAAACACAAUAGCCUGAAGUUGAUCUUCUGUCAUCUGGACAACUAGCCCAGUCUGCAUCACAAUAACCCUCCACAUUCAGAUGUCCAUUUUCUUAAACAGCAAACCUCUGCCUGGAUUCCUCUUU